GAUGAACGCUGGCGGCGUGCUUAACACAUGCAAGUCGAACGGUGAAGCAGAGCUUGCUCUGUGGAUCAGUGGCGAACGGGUGAGUAACACGUGAGCAACCUGCCCCCGACUCUGGGUUAAGCGCUGGAAACGGCGUCUAAUACUGGAUAUGAGCUGCGACCGCAUGGUCAGCAGUUGGAAAGAUUUUUCGGUCUGGGAUGGGCUCACGGCCUAUCAGCUUGUUGGUGAGGUAAUGGCUCACCAAGGCGUCGACGGGUAGCCGGCCUGAGAGGGUGACCGGCCACACUGGGACUGAGACACGGCCCAGACUCCUACGGGAGGCAGCAGUGGGGAAUAUUGCACAAUGGGCGAAAGCCUGAUGCAGCAACGCCGCGUGAGGGAUGACGGCCUUCGGGUUGUAAACCUCUUUUAGCAGGGAAGAAGCGAAAGUGACGGUACCUGCAGAAAAAGCGCCGGCUAACUACGUG
rnacentral:rRNA from 1 species